rnacentral:rRNA from 1 species
GUGAGGAAUAUUGCGCAAUGGAGGCAACUCUGACGCAGCCAUGUCGCGUGCAGGAAGAAGGCGCUACGCGUUGUAAACUGCUUUUAACCGGGAAGAAACCCCAGGACGUGUCCUGGGUUGACGGUACCGGAGGAAUAAGCACCGGCUAACUUCGUGCCAGCAGCCGCGGUAAUACGAAGGGUGCAAGCGUUAUCCGGAUUCAUUGGGUUUAAAGGGUGCGUAGGCGGAGCGUUAAGUCAGUGGUGAAAUCCUGCAGCUUAACUGUCGACUUGCCAUUGGUACUGGCGGUCUUGCGUGCGCUUGAAGUGGGCGGAAUGUGCCGUGUAGCGGUGAAAUGCUUAGAUAUGGCACAGAACACCAAUUGCGAAGGCAGCUCACUAAGGCGAUACUGACGCUGAGGCACGAAAGCGUGGGGAUCGAACAGGAUUAGAAACCCCUGUAGUCC